UUAUUUUAGAUUGUCGAAAGUGAACCAAUUAUUGUUAAUAUCAGUAAUGGAUGCAAUAAAACUAUUGAGAAUAUGGAUUUUGUUGAUGCCGAUUGUCAUGAUAAAUGGAUUUGGAGCAUAUUUUCAUAUCAAUUACGUAAGGAUGAAUUAUGAUGGUGCGACUGACUAUUGUAAAAGUAUUGGUAUGGAAUUGGCUAAGAUAGAUAAUAUAGG